rnacentral:lncRNA from 1 species
AUGGAUGGCAUCAAUUACAGCUAUGGUAAGCACUCAAAGUUCUCUAAAAAAAGAGGAAGGGAUGAUGUUGAAAGCUCAAUGCACGAAGGGUUACCAGAGGAAAUCAGUAUCAGUAUUAUAGAUGCAGAGGUGUUUCAAGAUCCAGACAAUUAUUUCAAGGAUGAAAAUAAGGAAGACACACAGAUAGCAUCUACACAAUAGCCCAGUAAAUAUUUAUGAAAAAAAUGAAGUAUCUUUUUUGACUUACCUUAUUGGAAACAUAAUCUUAUUCGGCACAA